rnacentral:ncRNA from 1 species
AGGUGUACCGAAGGAUCUAGCGAUGAAGGUCAAGCGAAUCACGGACACUUUAAAAGUAAGUGAGCACAAGUUGUUAUCAUGGCGGAGCGAUAAUAACCCACGGAGGGAUAAAAUUGCAUUUAUGCAAUUGCAUAAAUGCAACAGGUAUUCCUUAUCCUCGAAAUGGCAUGAGAGGAGAUAGUCGUUUGGACGGCGUCGUGAACACGAAAGUGUCAAUGGAUGGCAAAAGUCAUCGCCAUGAAAUGUCGAACAUUUUGUGGUAGUGGGUCCCAUGUGUACGGGCGUAAGGGGGACUGGAGACAGUCAGAGGUGCACCUACA